GGACAGUGAUGAAAUACACAAACAAAACACACCAUCUUUCGGGACUGAUUGGUGCACUCUGUGUGCCAUGCUGUGGAAAUGUGUGAUUCUGAUGUCC
rfam:Triticum aestivum genome assembly, contig: Triticum_aestivum_CS42_TGACv1_scaffold_392578_5AS